GACGAACGCUGGCGGCGUGCUUAACACAUGCAAGUCGAACGGAAAGGCCCUGCUUUUGUGGGGUGCUCGAGUGGCGAACGGGUGAGUAACACGUGAGUAACCUGCCCUUGACUUUGGGAUAACUUCAGGAAACUGCGGCUAAUACCGGAUAGGAGCUCCUGCUGCAUGGUGGGGGUUGGAAAGUUUCGGCGGUUGGGGCUGGACUCGCGGCUUAUCAGCUUGUUGGUGGGGUAGUGGCUUACCAAGGCUUUGACGGGUAGCCGGCCUGAGAGGGUGACCGGCCACAUUGGGACUGAGAUACGGCCCAGACUCCUACGGGAGGCAGCAGUGGGGAAUAUUGCACAAUGGGCGGAAGCCUGAUGCAGCAACGCCGCGUGCGGGAUGACGGCCUUCGGGUUGUAAACCGCUUUCGCCUGUGACGAAGCGUGAGUGACGGUAAUGGGUAAAGAAGCACCGGCUAACUACGUG
rnacentral:rRNA from 1 species